GCCUACGGGGCGCAGCAGUGAGGAAUAUUGGUCAGUGGUCGGGAGACUGAACCAGCCAAGCCGCGUGAGGGAUGAAGGUACAGAGUAUCGUAAACCUCUUUUGUCAGGGAACAAAGGCGGGGACGCGUCCCCGGAUGAGUGUACCUGAAGAAAAAGCAUCGGCUAACUCCGUGCCAGCAGCCGCGGUAAUACGGAGGAUGCGAGCGUUAUCCGGAUUUAUUGGGUUUAAAGGGUGCGCAGGCGGUCUGUUAAGUCAGCGGUCAAAGCCCGGGGCUCAACCCCGGCCCGCCGUUGAAACUGGCAGU
rnacentral:rRNA from 1 species